rnacentral:rRNA from 1 species
UACGUAGGGUGCAAGCGUUGUCCGGAAUUAUUGGGCGUAAAGAGCGUGUAGGCGGCCCGAUUAGUCCGCUGUGAAAGUCCAGGGCUCAACCCUGGAAUGCCAGUGGAAACUGUCGGGCUAGAGUCCGGAAGGGGCGAGUGGAAUUCCUGGUGUAGCGGUGAAAUGCGCAGAUAUCAGGAGGAACACCAAUGGCGAAGGCAGCUCGCUGGGACGUGACUGACGCUGAGACGCGAAAGCGUGGGGAGCAAACAGG